CGCCCGGCCUCCGAACGUCGGGCACCUAUCCCCGACUCAUGUCCUCUCUCGUGCGGUCGCCGGCGCUGCCACCGUGUGCGAUCUCCGUCGUCGCCAUGCCUCAACCAGUGAUAGUUCACCUCCUUCCUGGGGUAACCUCACUUCUUCUCACACCUUGCUGGGUAAGUUCGACUCUUCCCGCACCUUCUUGCUAGGGUUUCUUCUUGCGAUUUGGGCAAGAGACUAGAGUCCGAUUUGAGUGGGGAAAGAGGCGGCGAACAAGAAGUUCGGCGUCACGCUUGGACUAUCCAUGGUGUUCAUCGUCGUCAUGUAUGGGUUGCUCGUCCUCACCAAACCCACACUCGUUCGAGCCGUCAUGUACGAGGAUGCGUGGGGCUCGGCUAUGCGGCUAGACGCCUCCUCCUGGGACCACGCCAUGGAGGCGAAGAGGAGGAGGAUUGUAUGGGCGUUGGGCAAUGCCGGCAGCACCAUGCAUGGAUGAGAAGUAGGCAGCAAGCGGGCAGACAGAUCUCGGCAAGGCUGGUGUGCGUAUGGGCAGAUCCUGUUUCUUUCUCUUGUCCCCUUUCCUCAGUUAGCCUAAUUUGGUUCCUAUGUUUCUGUCAAAUUGACUUUCUGAUGUUUAUCCAAGACUAGUAGAAAAAUUCAAAGUGAGGGGAAAGCAAAUGGCCGUGCUUAAUUAUUCAAAGGCUAGUUUCUUGCCUGUUCAGCAGUAGCGUCUAAGUGCAAAGAUAUACAAGGUUGGGAGUGCUAUUGUUUGCAGAGGUAUUGUCAACGAAGAUCACUCCAUUGAGACCGAAAACUGAUGUUACCAUCGGUGAUGCUACGGAAGAGUAAUCAUGUUUGCUAGCUUUCUGUGUCUGUGGCCGGUCUUCCAGAGUUUGAUGGGGAAAAUGAGCAAAGAAGGAAUAUUUUUCUGUCAUUGAGGUCUUAUAUAAUCUAAAGUAUAGUGCUUUCAUAAUGUUGAUGAAUUUUUUUUUGUUGCGUCACAUGGAACAUGCAAGUCUAGAGGAAGGGGAAGGCAAGACCAAGACCUUGGGUUGCACCAGAAUGAAUAUGAUGAUUUUUUUGUAAUUUAGAUGCAUGAAUGGAGAUGAUUUUUUAUGA